UACAGAGGUCCCGAGCGUUGUUCGGAUUCAUUGGGCGUAAAGGGUGCGUAGGCGGCGGGGAAAGUCUGAUGUGAAAUCCUGGGGCUCAACCCUGGAACUGCAUUGGAUACUUCCUUGCUAGAGUACUGGAGAGGAAACUGGAAUUUACGGUGUAGCAGUGAAAUGCGUAGAGUAUCGAGAUAACGGAGGACCAGAGGCGGAAGCGAUGGUUCCU
rnacentral:rRNA from 1 species